UACAGAGGUCCCAAGCGUUGUUCGGAUUCAUUGGGCGUAAAGAGCGCGUAGGCGGCUUGGUAAGUCAGAUGUGAAAACCGGGGGCUCAACCCGCGGCCUGCAUCUGAAACUGCCAGGCUCGAGUCUGGUAGAGGAAAGUGGAAUUCCUAGUGUAGCGGUGAAAUGCGCAGAUAUUAGGAGGAACACCAGUGGCGAAGGCGGCUUUCUGGGCCACGACUGACGCUGAGGCGCGAAAGCUAGGGGAGCAAACAGG
rnacentral:rRNA from 1 species